rnacentral:rRNA from 1 species
AUAUUUGACAAUGGGGGCAACCCUGAUUCAGCCAUGCCGCGUCUGUGAAGAAGGUCUUCCGAGUGUAAAGCACCUUAAGUCGGGGGGAAAGGCUUUAGGCUAAUAACCUGAUGUUUUGACGGUACUAACAGGAUAAGCACCCGCUAACCCUGUUCCCGCAGCCGCGGCAAUACAGUGGGUGCAAGCGGUAACCGGAAUUACUGGGCGUAAACCGUGCGUAGGUGGUUCAGUAAGAUGGGUGUGAAAUCCCCGGGCUUAACCUGGGAACUGCUUUCAUAACUGCUGAGCUAGAGUACGGUAGAGGGUAGUGGAAUUUCCUGUGUAGCGGUGAAAUGCGUAGAUAUAGGAAGGAACACCAGUGGCGAAGGCGACUACCUGGACUGAUACUGACACUGAGGUGCGAAAGCGUGGGGAGCAAACA